rnacentral:rRNA from 1 species
AUUGAACGCUGGCGGCAGGCCUAACACAUGCAAGUCGAGCGGAGCGGCGGACGGGUGAGUAAUGCCUAGGAAUCUGCCUGGUAGUGGGGGAUAACGUCCGGAAACGGGCGCUAAUACCGCAUACUAUCAGAUGAGUCUAGGUCGGCUUCGCUAGUUGGUGGGGUAAAGGCCUACCAAGGUGACGAUCCGUAACUGGGCUGAGAGGAUGAUCAGUCACACGGGAACGGAGACACGGCCCAGACUCCGACGGGAGGCAGGAGUGGGGAAUAUUUGACAAUGGGCGAAAGCCUGAUCCAGCCAUGCCGCGUGUGUGAAGAAGGUCUUCGGAUUGUAAAGCUCUUUAAGUUGGGAAGCGUUACCUACAGAAUAAGCACCGGCUAACUUCGUGCCAGCAGCCGCGGUAAUUC